GAAGGUUUGGCUUACUGACAGAGUGUAUGCUUAGCAUGUAUGAGGUCCUGGGUUCAAACCCCAGGGCCUCCA
rnacentral:tRNA from 1 species